rnacentral:rRNA from 1 species
CGGGGUGAGUAAUGUCUGGGAAGCUGCCUGAUGGAGGGGGAUAACUACUGGAAACGGUAGCUAAUACCGCAUAACGUCGCAAGACCAAAGAGGGGGACCUUCGGGCCUCUUGCCAUCGGAUGUGCCCAGAUGGGAUUAGCUAGUAGGUGGGGUAACGGCUCACCUAGGCGACGAUCCCUAGCUGGUCUGAGAGGAUGACCAGCCACACUGGAACUGAGACACGGUUCAG